rnacentral:rRNA from 1 species
AAUCAACGCUGGCGGCGUGCCUAACACAUGCAAGUCGAACGAGAAAGUGGGGGCAACUCCAUGAGUAAAGUGGCAGACGGGUGAGUAACACGUGAACAACCUACCCUCGAGUGGGGAAUAACACCGCGAAAGCGGUGCUAAUACCGCAUAAUAUCUUUGAGUCGCAUGACCUGAAGAUCAAAAGCGCAAGCUGCUUGGGGAGGGGUUCGCGCCUGAUUAGCUAGUUGGUGAGGUAACGGCCCACCAAGGCGACGAUCAGUAGCCGGUCUGAGAGGGCGAACGGCCACACUGGAACUGAGACACGGUCCAGACUCCUACGGGAGGCAGCAGUGGGGAAUUUUGCGCAAUGGGCGAAAGCCUGACGCAGCAACGCCGCGUGGAGGAUGAAGGCCUUCGGGUCGUAAACUCCUGUCAGUGGGGACGAAUGCCUCGCAAGAGGUUUGACUGUACCCGCUGAGGAAGCCACGGCUAACUCCGUGCCAGCCGCCGCGGUAACAC